CAUUGCAGUCGUAUGAAGAUUUGGUUGCACGUUUAGAGCCAGUUAUAAUGGAAUUGGAGCGACAAGAAAACGUGUUGGUUGUUGGUCAUCAAGCUGUCUUGAGAUGUAUUUUAGCUUACUUUUUAGACAAGCAUUCUGAUGAGUUGCCAUACUUACGAGUCCCAUUGCACACAGUAAUCAAGUUGACACCUGUUGCUUAUGGGUGUGAAAUGGAACUUUUUAAACUUCCAGUAGAUGCAGUGGACACACACAGGGACAAACCGAA